GUGGCAAUCAGCGGGAAUUGGCCCGUGAGAGAAACAUGAAAAAGCAACAAACACAGAAAGCGAAAUCCAAGGAGGAUGGGUUGACACACGAGCAGCGCAAACAGCGAUUCAAUCCACCAUAGCUAAGAAACGAUGUGUGCGAUUGCCAACGAGUGAACAUCGUUGUGUUGAACCACAUGUAUCGUUUCGUUUCGGUUCAGCAAGAUGACGAGCAACAUGCUGCCAACCUACUAGGAAUCAUGUUGAAAUACUAAUUAAACUUAACUAUAGCAUAAGAUUUA